UUGCCCUCCCACUAAAUGUGUUUAACUUCAAUCGUUCAGUUUUGAUAUAGUAUUCCCUUAAAAACUAAUAAUAUUAAGAGAAUACUAAGUGUGCACGGGUGAUGUACGCAGCUCUCCUUUGGAACAAAUUGGACUACUAAUCUUACACGUCAUAUGAUUAUUAAUCGCGCAAUUGAUUACGUUAUGUGGUUGGAGAUUUGGACAUACUUGGUUAAAAUCCAGUCACACCUCAUAUAUGAAUAUCUAUGUAACGUUUAUUUUUUUUUUAUAAAGAUAUUUUCGCCCCGUCUAUUUAAAAAAAAAUUUGGUUUGAUUAUGUUUUGACCUGCCAGACUGACUGCUAGAGAAGAUUGUAGUAUGGAUAUUGGAUCGGUUGCAGUGGGGUGGGUCAGGCUUUAGUGGAUAGGUCGAAGUAGAAUGUCAAUUCAGUGGGCCCAUGGAAAUGUUAGUGCUGGACAAUCUUUAUUGAGCUCUCGUGGGCUGUGGGCCUACUUUUAGGAGCUACAAUUUUACGCCGACCUAUUAUCCAUUUUCCGCCAAAUUUUUUUUGGUAUUGAGAAAUAAAAAAUCAUGUACCGAAUCACGAUUCAGUAAUAUAUUAUCAUCGUUUGGAUUUCAUAUAUUUACUUUUGUUAUUAAUGUUUAAUCGAACGGCAAAUGCAGUUUUCGACAUCAACAAACUAAGCCACUUGCGACCUCCCCGCGUGUAAGGAUCACCUAUUGUUUAAAUACAAACAUUUAACUAAAAUUUCACUAUUCAUAAAUGGAGGAUAACUCAAAAUUUGGUAGGGGUGUUGAUAAAAAUUCGAAACAGACCACCAAAAUUAAGGGUGGCAGUGCGAAUUGGGUUAUUCGGUUUAACUAAAUUCGUAAUCAAAUUCAUUCCACCGAAAAUUGAAUUUAAGUCCCAAUUCGAUUUUAAAUUCAAAAUCGAUAGGAAAAUUUGUCAUGCAUUCAAAUUCGGUGAAUUCAGUCGAAUUUGGUAUUAGAUCAAAUUCAAAACAAAACUAAAUUCGUCCAUUAAAUUGGGUAUUUCGGGUAUUUGAAUGUACUAAUAUACCCAGAGACAGUACUAGUAAUCAGCCAAUAGGAAGACAGUGGGAGGAACAGAAAAAUACCUAACUCAUUCGGAAAUCUUAUCACUUUUAGUAGUUGCAUGUAUGGGGGAAAAGAAAGGAACUUUAGUUGUUAUUUGCAAACCUUAUGUAGGCCACCACCCUCCACGUCAUUACCCUUACAAAAAAGAAACUAAAGAUAACCCUCAAAAUAUGGCAAUGGAUGGCCCAACUAGGAUUUGCUAGCUAGCUAGUUGUUGAGACCCAACCCAUAUUCUUUUUUCGGUUCGAGACGAGCCGCAACGAAGUCAGGUUUUUAUAGAUGGUUUUUAGAAUUUUAAAAGAGCUCGUGAUAUAUACGAUAGAAAUAUUUGACUGACAUAAGAUGAGUUAAAUAUAUCUUCACAUGACAUCGUAUGUUGACGUGACAUGCUGGUUCGACCCUAAUGAUCGUAAAGACUUAUUUGUUAAGUUGAUUAUAGGUGUGACGAUGAUGAGGUUAACCAAAUGUUUUGUAGUCUAGUAUAUGACUCAAAGUUAUAACAUACGUAUGGGAGAAAAAUGGAUGUUUUUCAAUGAUUAAACUCCUUGUCGAAUCAAAUUAAGUGUUAACUCUAGUCAAUUGUCCAUAUCGAACCGAAUUGUUUAACCGAAUUCAGGGCUCUCUAGCCAUGGCAAGCUUAUGCCUGAGUCAAGAUUAUGAAGAAAACCCUUCAAAAAAUGUUCGACAUUUUACUGAUUUUACAAAUGCCAAACAUUCCCUUAUCAUCUAAAAAACCCAACCCAUUAAACCGAGAAAUAAAACCCCAAAACCCAAAAGAAAAAAAAAGAAAAUAGACGUGGGAGUAAAAAGUAACAAAAAGAGAUAAUUACGCUAAUAUAAUUCGAUUAAAAUAUUAAUUAAUUAAUGACUAAUCCCAAUUCCCCAAACGAUCCCUCCUCGAUUCCACCGCCGCCGUAAACAAAAACAUACCGCCCUUCGGCGCAUGUUAGCCCACCACCACCGCCGCUCAGCUCAACAACAAUACACAACGAGCUUGCCCGUUAGCCCACCACCACCGCCGCUCAGCUCAACAACAAUAAACAACGAGUUUGCCCGUUUUGCCCUUCGCUUCUUUCCAAAGUUUCUCAAUUCCCUUCCCAGUCAACAUCCGAGUCUUCCGGGUCGGGCAGCUUAUUCAAGUCAACCCGCUCCACGAACGACUUCAGCUCCACCGCCGCCUCGAUCUCCGACUUCCCCUCACACUCGCCGCGGUGGCGGCGGCACCGGUGGUNNCCCCCCCCCCCCCCUCCCCGCCCCGCCUCUCUGCUUCUUCUGCGCCGCCGCCGUCGAUUUAUCGUCCACCUCCAUCAAAUUUUUGUUUUUUUCGAGAAAUUCAAGGACCCUUUUAGAUCUAAGCAAGGAAUUUAAUUAGGAGAUGGAUGGAAGAAUUAGGACUCCAAGGAAUUUGGGAGGUCGGAGGAGGAGGUGUUUGUUCAUGUUAGCCAGCUGGGGAGAAAGAAACAGCAGCCAGCCAACACGUCAAUGGAGUUUUUGUUGGAAUUAAAAAGAAGACUCAGAAGGAUAAAUAGGAAGCUGGGGGAAUUAAAUGAGGGGAGAAAUUUUUAGAAGGAUGAGAAGAAAUCCAAAUCCCCCGACAUAAUCUCUGUGUAGAGAAGAGUGACUGAGAAAACAGAGCUUGCUCUGGUUUUCUUAUGUUAUCUUUUUCCUCCAUUUUUGGUUUAAUAGCUAAAGAUUAAAGAAAAGUUUAGGUUAAAAAGAAAAGAUCCAAUCUUUGGUGCAUGCCGACUUCGAGG
rnacentral:lncRNA from 1 species